rnacentral:piRNA from 1 species
UGCCCCAUGAAAGGAUGAAGUGAGCUCAG